GGGUUGUGAGGUUAAGCGACUAAGCGUACACGGUGGAUGCCCUGGCAGUCAGAGGCGAUGAAGGACGUGCUAAUCUGCGAUAAGCGCCGGUAAGGUGAUAUGAACCGUUAUAACCGGCGAUUUCCGAAUGGGGAAACCCAGUGUGAUUCGUCACACUAUCAUUAACUGAAUCAAUAGGUUAAUGAGGCGAACCGGGGGAACUGAAACAUCUAAGUACCCCGAGGAAAAGAAAUCAACCGAGAUUCCCCCAGUAGCGGCGAGCGAACGGGGAGGAGCCCAGAGCCUGAAUCAGCAUGUGUGUUAGUGGAAGCGUCUGGAAAGGUGCGCGAUACAGGGUGACAGCCCCGUACACAAAAGCGCAUGUGCUGUGAGCUCGAUGAGUAGGGCGGGACACGUGGUAUCCUGUCUGAAUAUGGGGGGACCAUCCUCCAAGGCUAAAUACUCCUGACUGACCGAUAGUGAACCAGUACCGUGAGGGAAAGGCGAAAAGAACCCCGGCGAGGGGAGUGAAAAAGAACCUGAAACCGUGUACGUACAAGCAGUGGGAGCACCCUUCGGGGUGUGACUGCGUACCUUUUGUAUAAUGGGUCAGCGACUUAUAUUCUGUAGCAAGGUUAACCGUAUAGGGGAGCCGGAGGGAAACCGAGUCUUAACCGGGCGUUAAGUUGCAGGGUAUAGACCCGAAACCCGGUGAUCUAGCCAUGGGCAGGUUGAAGGUUGGGUAACACUAACUGGAGGACCGAACCGACUAAUGUUGAAAAAUUAGCGGAUGACCUGUGGCUGGGGGUGAAAGGCCAAUCAAACCGGGAGAUAGCUGGUUCUCCCCGAAAGCUAUUUAGGUAGCGCCUCGUGAAUUCAUCUCCGGGGGUAGAGCACUGUUUCGGCUAGGGGGCCAUCCCGGCUUACCAACCCGAUGCAAACUGCGAAUACCGGAGAAUGUUAUCACGGGAGACACACGGCGGGUGCUAACGUCCGUCGUGAAGAGGGAAACAACCCAGACCGCCAGCUAAGGUCCCAAAGUCAUGGUUAAGUGGGAAACGAUGUGGGAAGGCCCAGACAGCCAGGAUGUUGGCUUAGAAGCAGCCAUCAUUUAAAGAAAGCGUAAUAGCUCACUGGUCGAGUCGGCCUGCGCGGAAGAUGUAACGGGGCUAAACCAUGCACCGAAGCUGCGGCAGCGACGCUGAUGCGUUGUUGGGUAGGGGAGCGUUCUGUAAGCCUGCGAAGGUGACCUGUGAGGGUUGCUGGAGGUAUCAGAAGUGCGAAUGCUGACAUAAGUAACGAUAAAGCGGGUGAAAAGCCCGCUCGCCGGAAGACCAAGGGUUCCUGUCCAACGUUAAUCGGGGCAGGGUGAGUCGACCCCUAAGGCGAGGCCGAAAGGCGUAGUCGAUGGGAAACGGGUUAAUAUUCCCGUACUUGGUGUUACUGCGAAGGGGGGACGGAGAAGGCUAUGUUGGCCGGGCGACGGUUGUCCCGGUUUAAGCGUGUAGGUGUGUGUUCCAGGUAAAUCCGGUUCACUUUAACACUGAGGCGUGAUGACGAGGCACUACGGUGCUGAAGCAACAAAUGCCCUGCUUCCAGGAAAAGCCUCUAAGCAUCAGGUAACAUCAAAUCGUACCCCAAACCGACACAGGUGGUCAGGUAGAGAAUACCAAGGCGCUUGAGAGAACUCGGGUGAAGGAACUAGGCAAAAUGGUGCCGUAACUUCGGGAGAAGGCACGCUGACACGUAGGUGAAGUGAUUUACUCACGGAGCUGAAGUCAGUCGAAGAUACCAGCUGGCUGCAACUGUUUAUUAAAAACACAGCACUGUGCAAACACGAAAGUGGACGUAUACGGUGUGACGCCUGCCCGGUGCCGGAAGGUUAAUUGAUGGGGUCAGCGCAAGCGAAGCUCCUGAUCGAAGCCCCGGUAAACGGCGGCCGUAACUAUAACGGUCCUAAGGUAGCGAAAUUCCUUGUCGGGUAAGUUCCGACCUGCACGAAUGGCGUAAUGAUGGCCAGGCUGUCUCCACCCGAGACUCAGUGAAAUUGAACUCGCUGUGAAGAUGCAGUGUACCCGCGGCAAGACGGAAAGACCCCGUGAACCUUUACUAUAGCUUGACACUGAACAUUGAGCCUUGAUGUGUAGGAUAGGUGGGAGGCUUUGAAGUGUGGACGCCAGUCUGCAUGGAGCCGACCUUGAAAUACCACCCUUUAAUGUUUGAUGUUCUAACGUGGACCCGUAAUCCGGGUUGCGGACAGUGUCUGGUGGGUAGUUUGACUGGGGCGGUCUCCUCCUAAAGAGUAACGGAGGAGCACGAAGGUUGGCUAAUCCUGGUCGGACAUCAGGAGGUUAGUGCAAUGGCAUAAGCCAGCUUGACUGCGAGCGUGACGGCGCGAGCAGGUGCGAAAGCAGGUCAUAGUGAUCCGGUGGUUCUGAAUGGAAGGGCCAUCGCUCAACGGAUAAAAGGUACUCCGGGGAUAACAGGCUGAUACCGCCCAAGAGUUCAUAUCGACGGCGGUGUUUGGCACCUCGAUGUCGGCUCAUCACAUCCUGGGGCUGAAGUAGGUCCCAAGGGUAUGGCUGUUCGCCAUUUAAAGUGGUACGCGAGCUGGGUUUAGAACGUCGUGAGACAGUUCGGUCCCUAUCUGCCGUGGGCGCUGGAGAACUGAGGGGGGCUGCUCCUAGUACGAGAGGACCGGAGUGGACGCAUCACUGGUGUUCGGGUUGUCAUGCCAAUGGCACUGCCCGGUAGCUAAAUGCGGAAGAGAUAAGUGCUGAAAGCAUCUAAGCACGAAACUUGCCCCGAGAUGAGUUCUCCCUGAGACUUAGAGUCUCCUGAAGGAACGUUGAAGACGACGACGUUGAUAGGCCGGGUGUGUAAGCGCAGCGAUGCGUUGAGCUAACCGGUACUAAUGAACCGUGAGGCUUAACCUUACAACGCCGAAG
rnacentral:rRNA from 1 species